GUGUGGAUGGGGGGGUUAUUCUCAGGUCAGCCCAGUGUUGGCCUCCCUCCCUGGGAACCCAAAUCCAACUUUGUCACCUGUUUAAAUUGUACAGAAGGAGCAGAUGACAUUCCUGGGCCAGUGACCUGGGAGCCAAGGCCUGAAAACUCCAUCUUUUUAAAGUGGCCGGAACCUGAGAAUCCCAAUGGAUUGAUUCUAAUGUAUGAAAUAAAAUACGGAUCACAAGUUGAGGAUCAGCGAGAAUGUGUGUCCAGACAGGAAUACAGGAAGUAUGGAGGGGCCAAGCUAAACCGGCUAAACCCGGGGAACUACACAGCCCGGAUUCAGGCCACAUCUCUCUCUG
rnacentral:lncRNA from 1 species